rnacentral:rRNA from 1 species
CCUACGGGAGGCAGCAGUCGAGAAUCUUUCACAAUGGGGGAAAGCCUGAUGGUGCGACGCCGCGUGGGGGAAUGAAGGUCUUCGGAUUGUAAACCCCUGUCAUGUGGGAGCAAAUUAAAAAGAUAGUACCACAAGAGGAAGAGACGGAUAACUCUGUGCCAGCAGCCGCGGUAAUGCAGGGGUCUCAAGCGUUGUUCGGAAUCACUGGGCAUAAAGCGUGCGUAGGCGGUUUCUUAAGACGUGUGUGAAAGGCGCGGGCUCAACCGUCAGACGGCACAUGAUACUGCGAGACUAGAGUAAUGUAGGGGGAACCGGAAUUCUCGGUGUAGCAGUGAAAUGCGUAGAUAUCGGGAGGAACACUCGUGGCGAAGGCGGGUUCCUGGACAUUAACUGACGCUGAGGCACGAAGGCCAGGGGAGCGAAAGGGAUUAGAUACCCUAGUAGUC